GACAGGAUGGGAGAGUGGUUAAUCCGCGAGACUUGAAUACCUCCGUCAUACAUGGAGUGCCAAGAUCAUCUCGUCCCUUUGGGGUCGUCAGUUCGAAUCUGGCUCCUGUCG